AACGCUGGCGGCGUGCCUAACACAUGCAAGUCGAGCAGAGAUUAUAGUAAUAUAAUCUUAGCGGCGGACGGGUGAGUAACGCGUGGGAAAUCUGCCUCUAACUGGGGGAUAACACAGGGAAACUUGUGCUAAUACCGCAUAACGUCACACCAUGGCAUCAUGGAAUGACCAAAGGAGUAAUCCGGUGAGAGAUGAUCCCGCGUCCGAUUAGCUAGUUGGUAGGGUAAUGGCCUACCAAGGCGACGAUCGGUAGCCGAACUGAGAGGUUGAUCGGCCACAUUGGGACUGAGACACGGCCCAGACUCCUACGGGAGGCAGCAGUGGGGAAUAUUGCGCAAUGGGGGAAACCCUGACGCAGCAACGCCGCGUGAAGGAUGAAGGUUUUCGGAUUGUAAACUUCUUUAGUCGGGGACGAAAAAAA
rnacentral:rRNA from 1 species